UAGGCUUCUCGGCGUUAUGGUUAAGAUCAAAGUGUAGUAUCUGUUUUUGUCAGCUUAACAUCUGAUAGAUUCUCCAACAGUGGACAGCAAAUGUUAAACUAAUUUCUGGUUUCGACGAAGUGUUUUAGGGGCUUGCUUCAAAAUAAAUAAUUAAGUGAAUUAAAACGCAAUCAAGUCUGGGUGGUUAAAAUAA